CGGGGGGGGCAAGCGUUGUUCGGAAUUACUGGGCGUAAAGGGUGCGUAGGCGGCUCUCUAAGUCGGAUGUGAAAACUCUGGGCUCAACCCAGAGCCUGCAUCCGAAACUGGAGGGCUAGGGUGCUGGAGGGGAAAGCGGAAUUCCUGGUGUAGCGGUGAAAUGCGUAGAUAUCAGGAGGAACACCGGUGGCGAAGGCGGCUUUCUGGACAGUAACCGACGCUGAGGCACGAAAGCUAGGGGAGCAAACAGGAUUAGAUACCCUGGUAGUCCUAGCCCUAAACGAUGGAUACUUGCUGUGAGGGGGAUUGAAUCCCUUUGUGGCGAAGCUAACGCAUUAAGUAUCCCGCCUGGGGAGUACGGUCGCAAGGCUG
rnacentral:rRNA from 1 species